rnacentral:rRNA from 1 species
UACGUAGGCAGCGAGCGUUGUUCGGAGUUACUGGGCGUAAAGGGUGUGUAGGCGGUUGUUUAAGUUUGGUGUGAAAUCUCCCGGCUUAACUGGGAGGGUGCGCCGAAGACUGGAAGGCUUGAGUAUGGGAGAGGUAAGCGGAAUUCCUGGUGUAGCGGUGAAAUGCGCAGAUAUCAGGAGGAACACCGAUGGCGAAGGCAGGUCUCUGGGCUGACACUGACGCUCAUGCACGAAAGCGUGGGGAGCAAACAGG